AGGACGAACGCUGGCGGCGUGCUUAACACAUGCAAGUCGAGCGGAAAGGCCCUUCGGGGUACUCGAGCGGCGAACGGGUGAGUAACACGUGAGUAACCUGCCCCAAACUUUGGGAUAACCCCUCGGAAACGGGGGCUAAUACCGAAUAUUACUUCUGGUCGCAUGGCUGGUGGUGGAAAGUUUUUCGGUUUGGGAUGGACUCGCGGCCUAUCAGCUUGUUGGUGAGGUAAUGGCUCACCAAGGCGACGACGGGUAG
rnacentral:rRNA from 1 species